AGUUGGCAGGUAAGGCGGUGAAAGCUAGAUUAUUACCACAAACGAAUGCUCGUCCUGGACCAGGGCAGAGGGAUGUGCUGUAAUUAAGCGUGUGGCUGCAAUUGGUAAAGCUAGCGAAACCAACAGAAAUA